rnacentral:rRNA from 1 species
CGGGGGUACACGAGCGGCGAACGGGUGAGUAACACGUGAGUAACCUGCCCCAUUCAUCGGAAUAACCAGUGGAAACGCUGGCUAAUGCCGAAUACGACCAUCGAAGGCAUCUUCUGGUGGUGGAAAGCUCCGGCGGAGUGGGAUGGACUCGCGGCCUAUCAGCUUGUUGGUGAGGUAAUGGCUCACCAAGGCGACGACGGGUAGCCGGCCUGAGAGGGUGACCGGCCACACUGGGACUGAGACACGGCCCAGACUCCUACGGGAGGCAGCAGUGGGGAAUAUUGGACAAUGGGCGAAAGCCUGAUCCAGCAACGCCGCGUGAGGGAUGACGGCCUUCGGGUUGUAAACCUCUUUCAGCAGGGACGAAGCGAAAGUGACGGUACCUGCAGAAGAAGGACCGGCCAACUACGUGCCAGCAGCCGCGGUAAUACGUAGGGUCCGAGCGUUGUCCGGAAUUAUUGGGCGUAAAGGGCUCGUAGGCGGUUUGUCGCGUCGGGAGUGAAAACUCAGGGCUCAACCCUGAGCGUGCUUCCGAUACGGGCAAACUAGAGGUAUGCAGGGGAGAAUGGAAUUCCUGGUGUAGCGGUGGAAUGCGCAGAUAUCAGGAGGAACACCGGUGGCGAAGGCGGUUCUCUGGGCAUUACCUGACGCUGAGGAGCGAAAGCAUGGG